rnacentral:rRNA from 1 species
ACCAACAGGGAUUGCCUCAGUAACGGCGAGUGAAGCGGCAACAGCUCAAAUUUGAAAUCUGGCUUCGGUCCGAGUUGUAAUUUGUAGAGGAUGCUUCGGCUUACGUACCGGUCUAAGUUCCUUGGAACAGGACGUCACAGAGGGUGAGAAUCCCGUUUGUGGCCGGCACUUCCGCCAUGUGAAGCUCCUUCGACGAGUCGAGUUGUUUGGGAAUGCAGCUCUAAAUGGGAGGUAAAUUUCUUCUAAAGCUAAAUACCGGCCAGAGACCGAUAGCGCACAAGUAGAGUGAUCGAAAGAUGAAAAGCACUUUGGAAAGAGAGUUAAAAAGUACGUGAAAUUGUUGAAAGGGAAGCGCUUGCGACCAGACUUGCCCGCGGAUGCUCAACCGGUCCUUCGGCCGGUGCACUCUUCCGCGGUCAGGCCAGCAUCAGUUCGGGCGGUCGGAUAAAGGCCUUGGGAAUGUGGCUCUCUUCGGGGAGUGUUAUAGCCCUUGGUGCAAUACGGCCCGCCUGGACUGAGGCCCGCGCUUCGGCUAGGAUGCUGGCGUAAUGGUCGUAAGCGGCCCGUCUUGAAACACGGACCAAGGAGUCUAACAUCUAUGCGAGUGUUUGGGUGUCAAACCCGUGCGCGAAAUGAAAGUGAACGGAGGUGGGAACCUUAGGGUGCACCAUCGACCGAUCCUGAUGUCUUCGGAUGGAUUUGAGUAAGAGCAUAGCUGUUGGGACCCGAAAGAUGGUGAACUAUGCCUGAAUAGGGUGAAGCCAGAGGAAACUCUGGUGGAGGCUCGCAGCGGUUCUGACGUGCAAAUCGAUCGUCAAAUUUGGGUAUAGGGGCGAAAGACUAAUCGAACCAUC